UAUGCGCGCGAGUAGUCGCGGCAAAUGGCAUAUUAGAAGUCAGCAGAGCUCGUAGUACCUUUUCGAAAGAAAAGGGAAGGAG
rfam:Candidatus Wolfebacteria bacterium RIFCSPLOWO2_01_FTLL_47_17b rifcsplowo2_01_scaffold_39091, whole genome shotgun sequence.